UCAAAAUUACCAAAUCUAAUCGCAAAUCAUACACGUGCCAAAAUAUCUCUCCCCUGCAACACAUACAACAUUCAACGAGGAGGACCCAAAUUGGAGGGUCAUCCUCGUAGAAUACAUCUCCCCGCCCACUGCGUUAUUUUGAACGGAGAGUGUAACAAAUUCCAACGUCAGUCAAGUGAUUGCGACCCCCAUGAAUAAUUGAUCAUAUUGGAUUAUGGGUGUAAAUUCACCCACGCCAUCCAGUUUUUCAUCUAUAUAACAACCACCGGUUGAUCUAGAGUCAUUGGGCACACACCAAAAAACCCAGUAAAGCUUUGAAUUUGAUCAUGUCUCUGAACUACAUCUCCCCUGUAGAUCCUCGACUACCAUUUCCAGGCAUACCCGAUUCGGCCGAGACCUCCGGCGCCCCUGUUAAUGUGCGGAUGAUCAUCAACACAAGGAGGCGAAGGAGAUCGUCAGGAUGAAGCAAUUGUUCGACGAGGGCGACACGGCGGUUCCGAGAGGCGGCGCGUCGUGUACUCCGGUCCUGCAGAGGAGGAGGAAGUUGCAGGACGAAAAUGGAGGUUUUAGGUAAAAUGAGUAGGUUGUUUAGUUUAAAUUACAUCCGUUAAACAAAAUGGUUGUAGUUGGAGAUCCAUAUCUAAUUAUAAAUCAUAUAUGUUACCUGGAUUUCUCUACUUAUGUAAGGUGUUUGGGUUUUCGAGAUGGAUUUUCGGAUCGAAAAGUGAUUAGGAUCGUACUUACAAAUACUCGCAACAAAUAACUUUAUGUCCUUUAAAUUUCCACCUACAUGGAGGGAUUAAAUCGUAGUCACCGGGUACACAUAUACAUAGCAACACGUGAUUGGUUAUUAUGAAUUUAAUGACGUAAAUAUUAAGGUUAAACAUUUUAGUAUUGGGUAAUUAUUUUCGUGAUCAUCAAUAAUAAAAUUUAGCAUCUUCGUUUUCCAGCUCACUUCCAUCUUUGUCCAAUUAAUUAAUUAAUUUUGCCGGACUUCCUCCGUAUCACAAACUAGAUAACUUGCGACUUAGUGCAUUCGAAUCCCUCAUAUAAAACCUCAAAACUCGAUUCGACAUGUCGAAAAAAUUCAACUAAAUAACUACGAACGAUCCUCUGACCAAGAAAAACCAACGAUUGCUAUCUCAAAGUUCAAUUGCUUGCCUUUCUUACUUUCUUCUUCUUCUGCAGCUUAUACUCCUGGUACAAUUGUAGAUCAAGACUAGUACGAGCUAGCUCCUUCCUUGCUCUCUCAUUCUCCUUCAGUUCUUCAAGCACUCUGAAAUGCUCAGAGAAUUUCCUCUUCAACUCUUCUUCGUCCAAUGUUCCGGCAUCCAUU
rnacentral:lncRNA from 1 species